UAGCUAUUGGUACAACUACUGUUCGUAU
rnacentral:sRNA from 1 species